GAUGAACGCUGGCGGCGUGCCUAAUACAUGCAAGUCGAGCGAACGGACGAGAAGCUUGCUUUUCUGAUGUUAGCGGCGGACGGGUGAGUAACACGUGGAUAACCUACCUAUAAGACUGGGAUAACUUCGGGAAACCGGAGCUAAUACCGGAUAAUAUUUUGAACCGCAUGGUUCAAAAGUGAAAGACGGUCUUGCUGUCACUUAUAGAUGGAUCCGCGCUGCAUUAGCUAGUUGGUAAGGUAACGGCUUACCAAGGCAACGAUGCAUAGCCGACCUGAGAGGGUGAUCGGCCACCCUGGAACUGAGACACGGUCCAGCCUCCUACGGGAGGCAGCAGUAGGGAAUCUUCCGCAAUGGGCGAAAGCCUGACGGAGCAACGCCGCGUGAGUGAUGAAGGUCUUCGGAUCGUAAAACUCUGUUAUUAGGGAAGAACAUAUGUGUAAGUAACUGUGCACAUCUUGACGGUACCUAAUCAGAAAGCCACGGCUAACUACGUG
rnacentral:rRNA from 1 species